AACGAACGUUAGCGGCGCGCUUAACACAUGCAAGUCGUGCGAGAAAGGGGCAACCCCGGUAAAGCGGCGCACGGGUGAGUAACACGUAGGUAAUCUGCCUCCAGGUGGUGGAUAACCUUCCGAAAGGAGGGCUAAUACAGCAUGAGACCACGAGCCCGCAAGGGAUUGAGGUCAAAGCCGGCCUCUUCAUGAAAGCUGGCGCCAGGAGAUGAGCCUGCGGCCCAUCAGCUAGUUGGUAGGGUAACGGCCUACCAAGGCGAAGACGGGUAGCUGGUCU
rnacentral:rRNA from 1 species